rnacentral:lncRNA from 1 species
GGAGCCUGGAGGGGCACCGGCCACGGGCAGGGGAGACAGAGGCGGGCACAGCCUGGCGGGGUCCGGGCUGAGCCAGCGGGGAGGACGGGGCUGUGGGAGCCCAGCGGAGAGGGUGAGGAUCCGCGGGCAGGUGGGACAGGUGAGCUGGGAGGUGAGAGAUGGGCAGGGCUGCCUGAAAGGCAAGUUCAUCCCAGAGCAGCGAGCAGGGCGCAGCCAAAGGCCGUGGGGGAAACAGCGGCGAGAAAAAAACGGCCAAAAUUCUGCCCGCAGUGCGCCUGUAUCCUAGCGGGGCGGCCACAAAAAUAUUGUUGAGUAGCAAGAAGUGUUUCGAAAGUGUGCAGUGGGUAAAGUGUGAGAAAAUAAAGCAGAUUUAAUCAAGAGGAACGGAGUCCUCAGGGCUGGCUGGAGAGGAGCGUGGUUUCAAGAACGCGGUCAGGAAAGGACUCGCUGAGAAGAAAUUUGGCGCCCAAACGUUCCUGGCACCGCCCGCGGCUGCUGAUUGGCUCAAGCCCGUAGGAUUCCUCUGGGCCUGAAGGUGCGGGGAGGGACUUGCACUUUCAGCUCCUGAUUGGCUGUGCGUCAGCUCCCAGAGGCAAGUGUCCGUGGGGGAAAGCUCCAUCUGCCUCGCAGAUCUGCUGCGUAAUAGGCACCUGAAGCUGCUGAUUGGCUACUAAAGAGGCCUGUGCAGCCACUGAUUGGCUGUGGGGUAGACGCACAACGUGCGAGGCGCGCGGGCUGGGCCCAGGGCGACAGCGGAGCCUUCACACCGCUUUCUCCGCGCGCUGAUGGAGGAUUCCUGGCCUCACAGCAGUGCCUGGCCUGUGGGCGUCCCCGGCAGUCCUCGGCUGCGGGACCUGUAUCGGGACUGCGCAAAGUGGGCUUCCAGGAGAGCAGGGCGUCCCUCAGUCAGCUGACCCCUUGGAGCGUGGGGCAGCCCAGGCCCGUGAGGCCGCCAGUGUCACCCUCAGGCCCGCGAGGCCCCCGAGCCCCUUGUGGGGUCCAAGGCCCAUUCUGGAUCAGUCACGAGGCAAGACCGCGGACCCUCAGGAGAUCACCAGGAGCCCGCCGCGCAUUCCUCCGCCUCCACCACGCCAGUCACCUGCUCAGCCCGAGGGCAGCCAGCGGCCGUCGCCCCAGUGAGGCGGCCGGUGAGGAGCUGAGGCCGUGACCAGGGCAGCGCCCCGCGAGUCAGCGUCAGUCCCCGCGCCAGCCAGUUCCUCAGACAAUCAGCUCACCAUUCCCAUCGCGUAUGCUGGGAAAUCAUCAAUAUACCCGCUGUCAUGAUCCAUUUCUCUGUUCCUUUUUGUGUUUCUGCAACAUGACCUCAGUUCUCUCAGGAAGCCCCAAAACCUGUGAAACUAACCUGUGCUUGCAGCUCUGCUUGCUGCCAGAAACAAAGGCUGGGAGCCAGCAACAGGAACCAGCCAGGGGAUGAGUUCAGCCCAGACGUGCUGCCUGGACCUGGAUUCCUGCCUCAGUGCAGGCCUUGACCUGAUUUCUUGCUUCAUUACCAUACUAAAAUCUCCACUCAGGGGCGAGAACUAUGCCUUGCUAGGCACAGAAGGUGCCAAGUACAAAAGAAAACACAAGAGUGUGCACACUUCAGCCCCUCCUGAAGGAACCCACCUUUUUCCAGAUCUGCCCGCCUCAGUCUCCAACUACCUGCCCUAAGGGCCCUUAAGAUCCCCUUUUACCAACCCCUGGGAGAAGGUGCUUUGCACAUGAACUCCCUUUCUCCAUUUCUUGAUCAAUGAAUAAAGUUUCUUCUCCGCUUUGCCGAUUCUGGUCUCAUUCUAUUGGCGUAAGUGGCAGGGGGCAGAGAAAGGACCCACUAGGGCCAACUCACCCCUCCAAGGGUGGGUAACAUUUGCAGCAAAACUCCUCAAGAGGUUGUUUGUCGUCACUCUUCCUACCUUCCUUUCUUCGGUUAUUUUCCAAACGAGCUUCCAAUCAAGUCCCCCACCCUUUCACACAUGUUCAUCAAAGCUGCCAUUGCCAGUUAUCUCAGACGUAAACAAAAUCAACUCAAUAUGGAUUAAAGAUGGAAAUGUAAGGCCUGAAACUGUAAAACUCCUUGAAGAAAACAGGAGAAAAAGCUUCUUGACAUUAUCUGGGCUCAGAUUUUUUUAGAUACUGUAAAC